rnacentral:lncRNA from 1 species
GGAAAUAAAAGGUCAUUCUCAAAGUGGAGCCAAAGAGAUAUACUAACAAACAACAUUGAUGAGAAGGAGAAUCUGUUAAUAGGAGGAAGGAAAAGCAUCAAAGCAGGGACAUGGAAAUCAGGAUGUUAAUGAAGAACUGAAUGCUCUCAGAUUUAAAGAGUUUCCAGGGACAUGGCCCACGGAACUAAAACAGAAAAUUUGGAAACGUGUCAUCGUAAAGCAGCAAGCUUCAGCCCCCAAGUCUCAUACAGGGCUACUCCUUCAACCUGGGUCCCAGAAGGAAGAAGACAUGGAGCAAAACUGUAUGGACAAUGUAAUGUGAACAAGAAAUAAAGCAUCAU